rnacentral:rRNA from 1 species
CCUACGGGUGGCAGCAGUAGGGAAUCUUCCACAAUGGGCGCAAGCCUGACGGAGCAACACCGCGUGAGUGAAGAAGGGUUUCGGCUCGUAAAGCUCUGUUGUUGGAGAAGAACGUGCGUGAGAGUAACUGUUCACGCAGUGACGGUAUCCAACCAGAAAGCCACGGCUAACUACGUGCCAGCAGCCGCGGUAAUACGUAGGUGGCAAGCGUUAUCCGGAUUUAUUGGGCGUAAAGCGAGCGCAGGCGGUUGCUUAGGUCUGAUGUGAAAGCCUUCGGCUUAACCGAAGAAGGGCAUCGGAAACCGGGGAACUUGAGUGCAGAAGAGGACAGUGGAACUCCAUGUGUAGCGGUGGAAUGCGUAGAUAUAUGGAAGAACACCAGUGGCGAAGGCGACUGUCUGGUCUGCAACUGACGCUGAGGCUCGAAAGCAUGGGUAGCGAACAGGAUUAGAUACCCCGGUAGUC